rnacentral:rRNA from 1 species
UACGUAGGGGGCAAGCGUUGUCCGGAUUUAUUGGGCGUAAAGAGCGUGUAGGCGGCCAGAUAGGUCAGCUGUGAAAACUCGAGGCUCAACCUCGAGAUGUCGGCUGAAACCAUCUGGCUAGAGUCCGGAAGAGGAGAAUGGAAUUCCCGGUGUAGCGGUGAAAUGCGUAGAGAUGCGGAGGAACACCGAUGGCGAAGGCAGCCCCCUGGGCCGACAUUGACGCUCAGGCACGAAAGCGUGGGGAGCAAACAGG